rnacentral:rRNA from 1 species
GAUGAACGCUGGCUACAGGCUUAACACAUGCAAGUCGAGCGGAAACGACGGGGAAGCUUGCUUCCCCGGGCGUCGACCGGCGCACGGGAGAGUAAAGCGUAUCCAACCUGCCUCUGACUGAGGUUUAACCCGCUGAAACUCAGACUAAUUCCGAAUGCCAUCUUCUGCGUGCGUCCAACAACGAUUGGGGGGUUGGUGAGGGACUCGCGGGGUAUCAGCUUGUUGGUUGGGUAGUGGCUUACCAGGGCUUCGAGGGGUAGACGGCCUGAGAGGGUGACCGGCAACAUGGGGAAUGAGAUACGGCACAGAGUCGUACGGGAGACAGCAGUGGGGAAGAUUGCACAAUGGGCGGAAGCCUGAUGCAGGAACGCCGCGUGCGGGAUGACGGCCUUCGGGUUGUAAACCGCUUUCGCCUGUGACGAAGCGUGAGUGACGGUAAUGGGUAAAGAAGCACCGGCUAACUACGUG